ensembl:lncRNA
AGAAGAGCAAGCUGGCUGUAACAUCAUAUGCCUCACAAUGGGGCUAGGCUGUCAUACAUCACUGCCCACAGCUUUGCUGUGCUGGUUCAGCUAAGAAGGAGUCUAACUCUGGAGUGAGCUGGACCACAAAAUCCCCAGGAGGACACCUUUCCCUGGUUGUUUUGACUUAAAAGGAAGUAUUGUUUAAGAAAGAGGAAGCUCUGCCCUCAGAAGUGAGAAGAACCAGCAGCAACAGAUUUGCAAACUCUAAAGGUCUUCAGAGCUGGGGGACAGGUUUUGGGGAAAGUAUGUGGAGAGAAGAAUGAAAGCUUGAAAAUUGAGUCUCUGGUUUCAGGGAAGGAAGAAGAUGAAAGUCACAGCUGGACUACACAGUCACAAAGCAUCUGGUCUGUAUAAUUAAGGGGAGCUGAGAAAAUACAAUUAGCCAAACAUGCAGGAAGUCUACGGCAAAUCUUCAUGACAGAAAUGUAGCCAAAGACCAUAUUCCUUCUUGGAUGAAGACUUUAUUCAUCGACUCACGUGGAACGUAAACACCCUGCAUUGCUCCACUCCGGGAAGACGUUUCUUUUUGGCUCCCUCUGGUGGUUGAUCUGUUUAAAAACCUAUUUGUACAAGCUGCUGCUUCACCCUCUGGUCCCAUUCCUGAUUCUGGAUGCAUGUAUAAAAAGCCCUACUUGUUGGCUUAGGAAUUACCCUAGCAGGUGUACAUGAGCAUGACUUAAGGUCUAGUUCAAAAGUAAGUGCUAUUUGGACUGUUAAGAAGAAGAAUGCUAGAGUAAGAACUCAAAGCAACAAUAGUGAAAACUUCUAAAUAACUACAAAACAUCAACAGAUGUACACCAAGCCAUCCUCUAGAAAGGAUGGGGUGGUUAUGUGAAUGCCGACAUCCACACUUCGGUGUCCUUUGGACAAGCCUCACACCUGUAUGACACAGUUAAGUAUCCAUACUUGGGACAGACCAUUUGAUUGCAUGUUAUGGAACAUGACUGGUGUUAUUAUUAAAGGAUCGGUUAUAACAGAGAAAGGCUGUUAUAACCACAAGGGUGUGGAUAGUUUCAUAUGUAAUGACGUAUGUGGAUCCCAAAGAGUGAAGUAUUUCUAAGUAAUUCGGUUUAAACUACUCCUUGGAUACAUUUUGUCAAAUGGUGAAUAAAGCUGAUCUGAAACAACAACAAAACACAAAUCAAAUGCCCCCAGGAAGCCUAACUGUAAUCUGUGGCUGCAAAUGGGGCUCCUGUAAGAGCAAUAACCCAUACUUCAUUGCCUCAUUUGCUGAGUGAAAUAUUGGUAAGGCACACGGCCUCUGGAGUUGACUUGUCUGGAUUCAGAGCCAAGACAUCGCUCCCCGCU